AAAUUGAAGAGUUUGAUCAUGGCUCAGAUUGAACGCUGGCGGCAGGCCUAACACAUGCAAGUCGAACGGUAACAGGAAUCAGCUUGCUGAUUCGCUGACGAGUGGCGGACGGGUGAGUAAUGUCUGGGAAACUGCCUGAUGGAGGGGGAUAACUACUGGAAACGGUAGCUAAUACCGCAUAAUGUCGCAAGACCAAAGAGGGGGACCUUCGGGCCUCUUGCCAUCGGAUGUGCCCAGAUGGGAUUAGCUAGUAGGUGGGGUAACGGCUCACCUAGGCGACGAUCCCUAGCUGGUCUGAGAGGAUGACCAGCCACACUGGAACUGAGACACGGUCCAGACUCCUACGGGAGGCAGCAGUGGGGAAUAUUGCACAAUGGGCGCAAGCCUGAUGCAGCCAUGCCGCGUGUAUGAAGAAGGCCUUCGGGUUGUAAAGUACUUUCAGCGGGGAGGAAGGGAGUAAAGUUAAUACCUUUGCUCAUUGACGUUACCCGCAGAAGAAGCACCGGCUAACUCCGUGCCAGCAGCCGCGGUAAUACGGAGGGUGCAAGCGUUAAUCGGAAUUACUGGGCGUAAAGCGCACGCAGGCGGUUUGUUAAGUCAGAUGUGAAAUCCCCGGGCUCAACCUGGGAACUGCAUCUGAUACUGGCAAGCUUGAGUCUCGUAGAGGGGGGUAGAAUUCCAGGUGUAGCGGUGAAAUGCGUAGAGAUCUGGAGGAAUACCGGUGGCGAAGGCGGCCCCCUGGACGAAGACUGACGCUCAGGUGCGAAAGCGUGGGGAGCAAACAGGAUUAGAUACCCUGGUAGUCCACGCCGUAAACGAUGUCGACUUGGAGGUUGUGCCCUUGAGGCGUGGCUUCCGGAGCUAACGCGUUAAGUCGACCGCCUGGGGAGUACGGCCGCAAGGUUAAAACUCAAAUGAAUUGACGGGGGCCCGCACAAGCGGUGGAGCAUGUGGUUUAAUUCGAUGCAACGCGAAGAACCUUACCUGGUCUUGACAUCCACAGAACCUUGUAGAGAUACGAGGGUGCCUUCGGGAACUGUGAGACAGGUGCUGCAUGGCUGUCGUCAGCUCGUGUUGUGAAAUGUUGGGUUAAGUCCCGCAACGAGCGCAACCCUUAUCCUUUGUUGCCAGCGGUCCGGCCGGGAACUCAAAGGAGACUGCCAGUGAUAAACUGGAGGAAGGUGGGGAUGACGUCAAGUCAUCAUGGCCCUUACGACCAGGGCUACACACGUGCUACAAUGGCGCAUACAAAGAGAAGCGACCUCGCGAGAGCAAGCGGACCUCAUAAAGUGCGUCGUAGUCCGGAUUGGAGUCUGCAACUCGACUCCAUGAAGUCGGAAUCGCUAGUAAUCGUGGAUCAGAAUGCCACGGUGAAUACGUUCCCGGGCCUUGUACACACCGCCCGUCACACCAUGGGAGUGGGUUGCAAAAGAAGUAGGUAGCUUAACCUUCGGGAGGGCGCUUACCACUUUGUGAUUCAUGACUGGGGUGAAGUCGUAACAAGGUAACCGUAGGGGAACCUGCGGUUGGAUCACCUCCUUA
rnacentral:rRNA from 1 species